rnacentral:lncRNA from 1 species
AAAUUUCAUAUCCAAAUUUAAAUUUAAGUCAUGAUUUAAACACAAAUUUUAAUUUUAAUUUAAAAAUAAAUAAAUUUAAAUUUAUAUCGAAUAAUUUAAUUUUAACUAUAAAUUUAAGAUGAGAUAAAAAUUUUAAAUUAAAUAAGAUUAACAUUUAUAUGUAUAUUUAGAAUUUAAAUUCAAAUUUGAUUAUUUGUUGCAAUUAACAAAAAGUUAAUGUAACAACUAAAAAUUAUUAUAAUAACUAAACAUUAGUAGAUAGUACUGAGACAAUCUGAAAAUAUCAUCUCAAAAGAAAAGAUAUGGAAUGAUGAUGUUACACCCCAGGUUAGGGUGAACUCUGGGCUCGCCAACAGCUCUGCUGAAUAUAUAAGAAGUUCCAUACAUACGAAUCGUCAGAAAUACCUAUAAACAAUCCUAAAAACUAUCAGAUAUCAGAGCUGAAAUAAAAACAACUAACACGCUAAAAUAUUGUAUAUACAAGAUCCAAAAGUACAACUACAACUCCAAUAGCUGAAAAUAAAAUACAAUAAGCUGGCCAAGUCAGUACCGGUAUGUACAAUAUACUAUCCUUCAAAAAUUAGCCUCUACCGGGUGCACUGCUAACUCGUAUA